rnacentral:rRNA from 1 species
UCGGGCAAGCCAUUAACAUGCAAGUCGAACGGCAGCACGGGUGCUUGCACCUGGUGGCGAGUGGCGAACGGGUGAGUAAUACAUCGGAACAUGUCCUGUAGUGGGGGAUAGCCCGGCGAAAGCCGGAUUAAUACCGCAUACGAUCUACGGAUGAAAGCGGGGGACCUUCGGGCCUCGCGCUAUAGGGUUGGCCGAUGGCUGAUUAGCUAGUUGGUGGGGUAAAGGCCCACCAAGGCGACGAUCAGUAGCUGGUCUGAGAGGACGACCAGCCACACUGGGACUGAGACACGGCCCAGACUCCUACGGGAGGCAGCAGUGGGGAAUUUUGGACAAUGGGCGAAAGCCUGAUCCAGCAAUGCCGCGUGUGUGAAGAAGGCCUUCGGGUUGUAAAGCACUUUUGUCCGGAAAGAAAUCCUGAGGGCUAAUAUCCUUCGGGGAUGACGGUACCGGAAGAAUAAGCACCGGCUAACUACGUGCCAGCAGCCGCGGUAAUACGUAGGGUGCGAGCGUUAAUCGGAAUUACUGGGCGUAAAGCGUGCGCAGGCGGUUUGUUAAGACCGAUGUGAAAUCCCCGGGCUCAACCUGGGAACUGCAUUGGUGACUGGCCAGCUAGAAUAUGGCAUAGGGGG